rnacentral:lncRNA from 1 species
UUUAUAGUUUUAGAGAAAAUGCAAGUUUAUUAAACAUUGACGCAAACGACAUCCACGGAGGUCGUCUAGUAGACUUCCAGAGAAGUCGUCUAUUUAGGUCAUUUUUGCAAUUAAAAUUUUACAAAGACUCUGUUGUAAUGAGUAGGUUAACUCCACAGACUCUGUGUUCAUGUCCAGGUUAUAAUCUUCUUGAGUCAUUGC